CUCUUGAGAGAACAGAGGAUGUAAUCAGCCACCAGCAGUGCUCUGCCAGGUGCCCUGGCCCCACGCAAGUUGUCUGGACCUAUUUGGGAGUUUGUCUAAUCCUUCCCGGCACCAAGAGGAAAUGGGAGAGCCUGAAGAAGGUGGAUUAAGCGUUCCCAGCUGCUGACAUGCUGCUGACUGUGGCAGAUAAGAAGGGAUGAGUGGCAUGUGCUGAAUGCAAGCUCCAAUAUUACUUGACUACAUUCAGAUGGCUGGUGUUCAGGGUACUUGAAGUUAUUCAGACCCAUCCGCCCUGUUUAGGAAGUCUGAUGUGUGUUUGCAGACAUGUGUGAGGAGCCAAGGGUGCAGCAGAGCCAGUAUGAUGGCUCAUAUUUGCUUAGCUCACACAUUGCCACGCUGGUUCCAAGCACACGGUCCCUGGACACACUCCCUCCUCCUUUUCAUAACUGUUACAGAGAGUGAAAGGGGCCUGUGUGCUAGUAAUCCAGGCAACUCUCUGACCAUCUAAAAGAUUAGGAAACAAAAAGAAGCAAGAAGGAACCAAAUCUGGAUUGUAAUGUGGAUGCCUAAUGAUUUCCCACUGAAACAUUUACAAAAUUGCCUGUCUGAUGAGAGGAAUGAGGAGGAGCAUUGUCGUGGUGAAGGACUCUGAUGAAGCUUUUCCAGGUGCAUUGAAGAUUCUGACUACUGAAAACAGAAAAUACAAAAAGAUUAAUGGGCCUGUUGCCAGAGGAUUCACUGCCGACAGACAUGAGCUGCCUGUUGCUGUUUAGUAUCUCUGCAUCUUCCUGAAGGCUGAGUUUUAUUAUUUGACUCCUCAUAUCCCUUUAAUCAAUAGGCUGCACAUAAAAUAAAAUCUACUGAAUCUCAGCUGAGGCUCUAGCAUGAUGCUUUCUGAGAUAUUUCAGAAUAUUUUUCCAAGUUUAUUUACAAGAUGAGUAUUUAUAUUCCAUUUUUUGGACAUAUUCAUUUGUUUUUGUUUUUGUCUCAGGAAGACAAGAGAAGGUAUUUAUAAGCUGUCAGUCUCACCUCACAAGGUCAGAACUGAAAGCUCUGUGUAGAAAAAUCCAAGUGCAGGAUUCAAAUAUGUUGUAUUGCUGUUGCUGACUUAUGACUGUGCCAUGUCAGAUGGUUUCAGCAACCUUGAGAGAUUAAG
rnacentral:lncRNA from 10 species